GAGAAGAGUCCAUCCAGACGAAAGCUGUGGGGACAUAUAUCUUGAACUUAUCUUCUAAAAAAAAUUUUAGAGCUAGAAAAUUGUUAUUAUAUGCCUAAGACCAUUAGGAAUAUUAUUUCUAUACUGCUGCUAUUGCAACAAGGAUGUAAAAUAAAUAGAAAGGGUAAUAGUUGCUCAAUUUCUUUUUCUAAUAAAAUUCUCUAUCAUGGUAUUUUGGAUAAUG
rnacentral:lncRNA from 1 species